CCUGCAUGGCAGAGGCGGCCGGGAGUCCCAGGCCUCUGCCUGCACUUGGUUUCCACCAGCCCACAAACAACAGCAUGGCAGCCAUCCCCUGCAGCGUCUUGCUGGUGGCCACCCUCGACUAUCACUGGCACCGCCUGGGUUCCACUUCCAGUAACACCUCCUGCGGAAGGGCAGAGUAUCCUGGGGAAGCCAUCCCUCACCACCCCAGUUCCCCAAGACUAACCCGGGUCACUGAUGGGCAAGCUGCUUUUUGGGGAAGUCCACUCUCCCAUUCGCGGCCACAGUGUUGGGAGUCCCCAGAACCCUCAGAAUCUCUCCAGGCCUCCAGUGGCAGGAUCACCUGUGACUUGGCUCUGGAAGCUAUAUGAGGACACAGCUUGGUGGCCAGCCUGACAAGGCUAACGCCUGGCCCCAGUCCUGAGUGGGCACCACCAGGCACCAGCCUUCAGGAGGCGGUAGGCUCAUCAGAGCCCAUCCCUCCCCUCCCCGUAGACCAGGCAGGCUGCAGCAAGCAGACCAGUGGUUUCUUUUCUAUCAAAACAGCAAAACACUAAAAAGGAGGUUGAGAGAAUCCCACUCUCUACUAUCCAAGCCACAAGCAUGCCUUUCUGACGCUCUGUUAUUGUGUGCCUUGCACCAAGUGGAAAAUCUACUCCAAGCAGCUAAGUUAAAAACAAAAAAUGGGGAAAUAAAUACAUUGUGAGGAACAUUUUCAUGCACACUGCAUCUCCAAUGUUAUGAGUCUUCCCACUUAGGAUCUUGGAAUCCCCAGGAUGUGCCAAAUCCAGGCCCGUCCCACACCCAACUGCCUGUCCAUCCUGAGAAUCUCUGAUAGGAAAUGUUACCGGGGCCUGGGGAAGAGAGUGCCUACUUCCAGCAGUGAGUGAGGUGUGUCCCCUGUGAAUGCUGCCACCCAGAGGCAGACCUGAGUGACUGUAGGUGCCCCUGAAUGUAUUCGGUGAAUGCCCACUUUGUGUCAGGCCUUGAUUGGGCACUGAGGACACAGAAAUACCAAGACAGGCAAAAAAGCAUCCCAUUUGAGCUCAGUCGAGUGAGGAAUAUAGGUGAAUGCAAAGAAAAAUAAUAAGAAAGUAGUGGACGGUGGGAAGAAUUGUGCUGAGAAGUCAAUCCAGGCCAUCUAUUAAUGAAUGGAGUCAGAGGUGAUUUAGAUGGUCGGCGGAGCAGGGGGGACUCCCUGAGGAAAUGAUAUAUGAACUGAGACCUGGAAGAACAGGACCCGGGGGAGUUGGAGGAUAAGCAUUUGUGGCAUAAGAGCAGGUGCAAAGGCCCUGGGGUGGAAACAAGCUCGGUGUUCAACAGCAAAACUGUUGAAGAUGGGGCCAGAGAGGUGGGGGGGGGGGGAAGAAGCCACCAAAUCUCAUGGGUGAUGGUGAGGGUGUGGGUCUAGUUGAAGAGCCAUGAAUUAGACAUAGGAGCUGGGGAGGGCUGGGAUCUGAUUCAUGCCAGAGGCAAGAAAGAUGACUGGGGACAGGAGUGGCCACUUGAACAGUGUCUAGGGUGGGCAUGCAGGGAAUUAAGGUAGUAAAGACCCUCAUAGUUUCCCUCUCCCGCCCCAGAUCAUUCCCAAGUGUUGGGGAACCCAAGGGAGCCUCAAAAUUAAUACCAAGGUCACCCAAAGCCAGCAGAUGCCGUAUUGAGCCUCUCCCCAAAUAACAGCUGUUGCCUUUGCUGAACAUUGUGUUGCCCGUGGGCCUUUUUAUCCCUCUAGGCUGCUGCUUGUCAGGCUGGUCCCCCUACCCAGUAUGCGUGUCCUCUCCACUUCUCAAACACUUAACGCAUUCUUCAAAACCCACUCCGGAUUCCCUUCUUAUAUGCAGCCUUUUCUCAGCUCCUUCGUUCAUCUCCCUCUGGGGCCCUUGACCCCAUCCCUCCCUCCAGGCCAGGCUUGACCUCUCAGGACUGAGGGUGCCUGUGUCCAGCUGUCUCCCCUAGAUUGGAGGGUUGGCAGGAGCCAGGCUGGAAGCAGCUGACAGGACACCCAGCUGAGGCAUGAGAAUUUGAACAAACUCUUAAAAGACACUGAGACUCAGUUCCUGACAAGAAACCAAGGAAGCCUUCUUAGAGGAAGUGGCAUUGAGCCUGACCUUGAAGGGUCUUUUGCCCCUGCUGGUGCUGCCGCCCGAGAUUCCCUCAUUCCCUCAGCCAACCUGGAAAAGUUGAACCCAUCUAAGUCCAGCCAAAUCUCAAGAUGAGAAAACUGAGGCCCCGAGGUGAACCUACUUGCCCAAGAUCACACAGCCUACAAGAGGCGGCGCGGGGAUUUGAAUCCCGGCCGUCUGCCUCCAGAGUGUUGCAGGCAGAUGUGAGUCACUCACCCCUGUUCGGCCCACUGGUGCCUGGUAGCUGGCUGGCCCACGAACACAUUCUCAUAGUCGGGUGUGGAGGGUCUGGGCAGGACAGCCUCUGGGGGCUUAGGGCUGAGGCCUCGGCUACUAUACCUCGGCUGCUUGCCCAAGCCAGACCUGGAACCAUCCUGAGCAGCCCAUGUUUUGUCCAGGUCGUGGCUGCUGACCAUCCAGCGUCCCCGAAGUCUCCAGGCCAGCACUAGGCCAGCAAUGAGUGACUCAGGCUCCUUCGGAAAUGAUUAAAUGCAGCCUCUAGUGUGCCUCCCCUCUGGUCGGCUCUAGCCUCUGUCUGGCCCCAGUCGCCCCCUCUGGGAACCGGGUACGUAAUUCCAGGGCCCAAAGGUCUUGGAAGGCGAGGAGGAGACCCGACCCAAUCAGCCCCUCCCCUUCUCCCCGUGGAGCCCUUUCGGGUUAAAUUUCCCUUCCCCUCCCCUCCCCACCCCGAAUAUUUCGGGCGCCCUCAUUGGCCAAGACGGGACCAUAUGCAAAAUAAGCGGUUGCCGCGGAAACGGCCCGCCCCUGGCCCAACUAAUUGUUUCUUCCGGAACUGCGAAGCGUUGGGAGUCUUGGGCUGAUCUGGGGUGGGGCUGCUGAAGGGAACCCCCUGCAAUUUGGUUUGAGGCCCCUUCUCGGACCCCAGUUCUAGCGCCUCCGUCCUACCUUUGUGGUCCCACCGCCACGCUUUUGCCUCGGCGGUGCUGGAAGGCUCUGGCGCGGGACGGCUGCGUGGUGGCUGACCUGCACGAGAGGGCCCAAGCGGUCAGCACCCUCUGCGGAUUCGCUCUGGUCCCGGGCGCUCCUCAGGAUCCGCACCCAGAGACUCAGGGGAAGAGGAACUGGUGUCCGGGUGCAAGGCUGAGGGGAAGAAUGAAGACACAGAGACACGCCCCCCCCCUGCAAGACCUCAGGCCCAGGAUUCUCACGGGAGGGGGAGGGGCGACCUGCUUCUCUCUUGCUGGAACCCAGUGACUACAUGUCCCCCAUUAACACCCCGAAUGACUGCUAUCUCAUCAACUCGCUUCCUGGUCUCAACUCGGUUGCCGCCCAAGCCACGCAUUCACGUAUUCAUUCAACAAUCACCCAUGCUGGACUUCCAAAAGGCCUCGGCUAUGGCCAGGUUCUGGUGCAGCAACCCAGUCUUUGGAGAGAACAGAGCUAGCCACAGACACACCCAGUCCAGUGGAGUCGGGUCAGGGUCAGAGGGAGGGACAGAGUCCGGUAAGGGUUCCUAGAGGAGGGAGCAUUAGAAUUGGGGCUUCAACACGUGGGUAGAGUUUUGCCAAGAAUUCCUAAAACCUGCCUUUGACUCUCCCAGCUGCUAGCCUCCCCGACAGACUCAGAGCUCCUCCUCCUGUACAGUGAUGCCUCCACCGUGGAGGGGGCUGCGAGGAGGGCUCCCUGGGAGAGGAGAUGUUGAUUUCAGGACUUGGGGGUGAGUCACAGUAGCUGGCAGAAAUAAAUGCAUAGCAGAUUCCAGGCAGAAGUCACAACAGGCGUGGAGGCCCUGCAGCUUGAGAAAGCAUGGUGGGCUGGGACUGUGCAUUUAGGAGUGGAGUGGCUAGAUGGGCAGGCUAAGAGGAGGAAGUGGUGGUGUGGGCAGGCGGUGGGCAGUGCCGGCCUCAGAAGCCAGGCCGAGGAGUGGGGCGUUAUUCCCAGGGCCGUGGGGAGCCAAGGAAGAUGUGUGAGCAGUGGAGGAGUGCUGUGUCCAAAGAUUCCUCCAGAGUGAGCGAGCCUGCUGUCUGGAGGUGGGGAACCUGGGCAGGAGACCAGCGUUCCAGAAGGAGACAGAAAAAUUGCACAUCACAACUCUGAGGCGUCAUUUGUCUUCCCCUAUGAGACUGGCAAAGAUUCAGAAGUGUGCCGAUGUUCUGCGCUGGCCGGGCUAUGGGAAAACAGGGAAGCCCAUGCCACGCUUCAGGAUCACAUGUGGCGCUGUCCCAGUGGAAGGCACAGUGACCGGCAGAGGCCACGGGGGUUCCAAACACUCGUGCCUGCUGCCCCAGCAUCCGCUGCUGGGACUGUCCUGAAUAUUUCAUGUUGACAAAGUGACAAGGGCGGCAGUGGCAUGAACUAACUGAGGAGUGGAUAAACGAAACGUGGUGCCUCCAGACAGCGGAAUGUUACUCAGCCACGAAAAGUGGUGAGGCGCUGACGCUCCCUUGGUCACGGAUGAACCUUGAAAACAUCAGGGUGAGUGAAAGAAGCCAGUCACAAAAGCCCACAGAGCCUAUGACUCCACUGAUGCGAGACGUCCGGACCAGGCAAAUCCCUAGGGACAGAAAGCAGAUUGGUGGUCCCCAGGG